rnacentral:pre_miRNA from 1 species
ACUUAUGGAUGAGCAAAGAAAGUGGUUUCUUUAGAUGGAAUCUACUCCUGGUGAAGAUGCUGUGCA